AGUGAACGCUGGCGGUAGGCCUAACACAUGCAAGUCGAACGGCAGCACAGUAAGAGCUUGCUCUUACGGGUGGCGAGUGGCGGACGGGUGAGGAAUGCAUCGGAAUCUACUCUGUCGUGGGGGAUAACGUAGGGAAACUUACGCUAAUACCGCAUACGACCUACGGGUGAAAGCAGGGGAUCUUCGGACCUUGCGCGAUUGAAUGAGCCGAUGCCCGAUUAGCUAGUUGGCGGGGUAAGAGCCCACCAAGGCGACGAUCGGUAGCUGGUCUGAGAGGAUGAUCAGCCACACUGGAACUGAGACACGGUCCAG
rnacentral:rRNA from 1 species